rnacentral:lncRNA from 1 species
GCCCGUUUGCAAAAUGACUGGUUUUAUUCAAAUAAACAAAAACUCCAUAUAAUGAGUUAAUCAAUGGAUUUGUGAUUCUCAUUGCUUCUCAAAACUUGAUCUGGAAGCCAUGGCAAGACCAGCUGAUAACAUUAUUCAUACAAGGAUACAUAGCUGUACUUCUCCUCUAACAAGCAAUAUCUAUUAGCAUAUUAAAAGACAAAAUAAAAAUAAAAUUACAUGGAUCACAUUCUCUAUAUAAAAAAACUUUGUUAAAAAUCCAAGCCAAGAACUGCACGUGGACAAAAUUUGCAUUCCAUAUAUACAAUCCCUCUAAGCCAACUAAUUAAAUAAUGCCAACUUACAUGUCUACAUCAAGAUUGCAUAGCGCAUGCUGUCAUUUACCAUGAGGUGAUUCAUCUCUGAUAGUUGAGCAAACUCACCAGUCACCCAAAGACCAUCAGCGCCAUUGACAUGAGGUUGUGAGGAGCAAGAAAGAAUUGAAAAUGGUGCAAGAACAAUUCUGAAUAGAGCAGAAAGACUAUUCCACCUUUGUGCUCUGUUCAUAUCACGCACAAGGAUUGGAAACUCGGCUCCAUUCAUGCCUCCAAACAUGCUCUCAUCGGCUACUCGUGGGCUUUUCCUAAUAUUUUGCACGUUCCUCCUCAAUCUGGCCAGCUUGUGCCACAUCUUAAUUAUCGGUAGUUUUGAUGCUAAGAAUCCUUGAAGAUAUGGUGUUUAGAUGUUUAUGAGAAACAAAUUUUUGUGAAGAGAACGAUUGCAAGGCCAGCUUUUAAGGCUGCUUUUUCGAUAAUGGCAGUUUGGUGGUGGUGGUGGUGUUAGUGCUAGUGUUUGUCACAAAGGGUAGGAGUGCCUUUCAAGGCCCUUUCACUUGUGUUAUUUUUUCCUAUUUUUGGGGGGGUCUAGCUAGGCCAACAUGCCGACAGAGUUGCCUAAUUAUUUACAAAAUAUUUUCAUUUAUAU